AUUUCCUACUGCAAAUUGAAGGUAUGCAUACCUACCCAACACAUAUAGUUUACAUUCUCUUCUUUUUAUGUGGCCAUGUAAUUCUUUCAAGGCAUAUUCUAACAAAUCUUCAAAUAAAAUCAAUUAAUAAACAAACUUCUCUUUACCAUGCCACUUCAGUUGUUUUGGCACAUAAAUUGUAUAUAUGUUAAAUUUAAGAAACUAAUUCUAUUGCUUCUUUUUGUUGUAGAGAUACAUAUUAACAAAGAACCACAUACCCAUGCUUGGACACUUCUCACUUUUCAAGUUAGCACUGGUUGUAGCUAAAAAGUCUUCUCAAUGUCAAUUAUACAAAGUUAUACACAAAAAAAACAAUGCUAUGCUUACUCUGUUCUUUUUCCCUACAAAACAUCAACUUUCUAACUCUUUUAAAACUAAAAUGAAUAUAUUUCUAAUCAGUUUUAAACUUUACACUACUCAAACAUUUCUAGCAGCUUUUAUUAAUCUCGUUCUUAGAGCAUCUAUGUAUUGUCCUCUGAUAGCUUUUGUUACAAAAAUGUUUCUUCCAUUCAAAACUGACUGCUGCAACAUAAACAACUCACCCAGGUAUGACAUAACAAUGCUAUGCUUAGUCUGUUUUUUUCCUUUUUUUUUUUUAUAUGCAAAGAUAGAAGAGAGAGAAAUAAUAGUAUCUAAGUUUCUAUAUAUGCUAUGAAACAUUUGUUUCAAUCUAUACCACUAUUAAGCUCCAUCUCACAAUAUCAGAAAUAUGUAUCUGUACAAUUUCACAGUUAAAUAGAAGACGACAUAAAACUUGUGGAUGACUGCAUCUUUCCCUCUCAUCUGAAACUUUUGUUUUACAAAUACUUUCCACAUGUGAUUUCAAAGGAAGGAUGCAAGGCCCGCAACACAUCAGGCAACCUGAGCCAAUCUCAAAGCCUCCAAUUUCCAUAUACCAGUUUUCAGGAUUAGACCAUAGCAGAGCAUGUCAACAUAUGAAGGUGACUUGGUGGCAAAAUGCUACUUUACAAAGCACAACACCUGUGUAUUAUCCUCUAGUGACUUUAGUUACAAAACUCUCUAUUCCAUUCAAAAGUCACUACUGCAACAUUAACAACUCACCCAGAGAUACAUAUUAACAGACAACAACAUACCCAUGAUUGCACUCCAUGUCGAUUACAACCAAACAUUUUCUGGUAAAACCUUUGACCGACCACACUAAAUCACCUUUCCUAUUUCACCAAUAUCCAUUCAUUUUGUUCCCCAUAUUUCAGAUUUAAAUAUCUCAAAUCUAUCACUGUGUUGCCCUUGCAAAAAUUGCAGACAACAAACAAAAAAAUUUAGGGUGUUUUCAAACUUCACUGCAUUCCAGAUUUAU